rnacentral:tRNA from 1 species
GCUGUAGCUCAGUGGCAGAGCACUUGCCUAGCAUGUGUGAGGCACUGGGUUCGAUCCUUAGCACUGCA